rnacentral:tRNA from 2 species
GGAGAGGUGACCGAGCUGGCCGAUGGUGCUCGCCUGCUAAGCGAGUGUGGGGGUCAUACUCCACCGAGGGUUCGAAUCCCUCCCUCUCCGCCA